AACGAACGCUGGCGGCAUGUCUAACACAUGCAAGUCGAACGAGACCUUCGGGUCUAGUGGCGCACGGGUGCGUAACGCGUGGGAACCUGCCCUUAGGUUCGGAAUAACUCCCCGAAAGGGGUGCUAAUACCGGAUAAUGUCUUCGGACCAAAGAUUUAUCGCCUUUGGAUGGGCCCGCGUUGGAUUAGCUAGUUGGUAGGGUAAAAGCCUACCAAGGCGACGAUCCAUAGCUAGUCUGAGAGGAUGAUCAGCCACACUGGGACUGAGACACGGCCCAGACUCCUACGGGAGGCAGCAGUGGGGAAUAUUGGACAAUGGGCGAAAGCCUGAUCCAGCAAUGCCGCGUGAGUGAUGAAGGCCUUAGGGUUGUAAAGCUCUUUUACCCGGGAUGAUAAUGACAGUACCGGGAGAAUAAGCUCCGGCUAACUCCGUG
rnacentral:rRNA from 1 species